rnacentral:rRNA from 1 species
UACGUAGGGUGCAAGCGUUGUCCGGAAUUAUUGGGCGUAAAGAGCUCGUAGGCGGUCUGUCGCGUCGGCUGUGAAAACCCGGGGCUCAACCCCGGGCCUGCAGUCGAUACGGGCAGACUAGAGUGCGGUAGGGGAGACUGGAAUUCCUGGUGUAGCGGUGAAAUGCGCAGAUAUCAGGAGGAACACCGGUGGCGAAGGCGGGGUCUCUGGGCCGAUACUGACGCUGAGGAGCGAAAGCGUGGGGAGCGAACAGG